GUCACAUCUCAGAGCUAAUAAAGAAUUGUGGCAUCAAAAAUGAGCAGCUCUUCUAACUUUAUGCCUGCCAUAAUGCGGGCAGGAGUUUGCUGGAAAGGCAGAAAGUUAAAAAAUACAUCUGGACAGAUCAGACAUACCUCGCUGACUCUGGCUUGGAAUGGAGACUACCACUAGGCUGGGAACCAGGUCUAAGCCUGCAAAGAGGAUCGGAAUUUUUAAUUUUAAAAAUGGCUGUACAUCCCCAGAGGCUGGAUCAAAGAUCAUAAAGCAUUUGGCGUUCAUAACAACAAGGCAAGAAGGUACCAACCCUACCCAACUAAAUGGUGCUUGCAAGACUGUGAAUCCAGUAUCCAACAUUACAUAUCAUUCUGUGAUUGAAAAGCAUUUGUGAA